GGAGAUUGCUCCUUUUAGAUUUUUUUUUUUUUCUGCAAGCCUGUGAUACGGAAAGAACUUGAAGAGGAAUCAUGUGCUUAUCACCAGAAAGAUAUUCAUGGAGAUAAGAGAAUCAUAGGUGUUGAAAAGAACCUCGGGGGAUCAUAAAAUCCAACCCCAAUGAUAAAGCAGGUUCCCUAAAGUAUGUUGCACAAGAAUGCCUCCAGGCAAGUCUGAAUAUCUCCAGAGGAAAGACUAUAACCUAUUAUUAUUAUGGAUAUUUGUAUACCUGUUACUUAUCGGUGGGGGUGUGGGAGGAAGUGAUCUAACUGUUCAGUUUCUUUUUUUUUUUUUUACUUUAAUUGGCUUCUUUUCAUACUGUGAUAGUGUUACAGUCUUAAACACUUACUGUUCUCAUCUUUCUUUAAAAGUGGGUGUUAAGGCUUCAGUAGUUGAUACAACUUUUAUCAGCUAUGUGCCCUUCUGUAAGUGAUAUAAUGAUACUGUCAUCCUGAUGCAGAAAGAUGAUAUAAACUCUCUUGAAAAUACUUCAGAUGUUCAUGUCAGCGCCUGCCUUAGAAUGACAGGAAAUCACCGAGCGCAGGGGCAGAUUGGGAUUCUUGAAUAUCAGGGAUUCUCAAAGUACUAGAAUUCAUUAGUGUGUAUUUCUACACUAAUGUUUUGAUGUUCCAUUAAGAAGUGAAGGACCUGAAAAUGGUAAAAUUAAAAACAACAAAGUGUAGCUUUGAAAACCUUAACUUCAGUCUCAGCUUCAUAAUCUAAACUUAACUACUCUGUGUAACAACUCUAAGUCAAAUUAUCCCAUUAUGGGCUGGUUAAUUUUCUACAUUUAGUGAUUUACUACAUUCAGUUACUCUGAAGGAAUUAAUAUAAAGUAUCUAUGUUAAAUUUAUUGGUAUCAUACAGUGAAUUUUGUGAAGUGCUUACAUUAUAUUUUAAAGUAACUCAAAAUAGCUGCUCUACAGAUUUUUUUUAGUCUACCACUCUUUUCCACGCACUUAACAAAGGCAAAGUGUAUAUAAAGACAAGCUGAUCUCUGUACUGUCAUGUUUGAAUUGUAAUUUCAGCACUGUCUACAAAUGUUUUCAUAUGGACAUAUACAAAACUGUAUCAGUUAAGUAAUUUCAUGGCCAUGCUCUUACUGUCUUUGAUCAAUUAGGUCAUUGUUUCUAGCACGUUCAUUAUGUAAUAUUCAAGUAGGUCAGUCUGUGAAUACUGCCAGAUCCAACUGAGUGAUGUUGAACACCUGGGCAGAAUCACGUUGUGCUCAUCUGUUGUACAGCAUGUUCAGGGAUGUUAAGCAGCAAAUAAACUCUGCUAAUGU
rnacentral:lncRNA from 7 species